rnacentral:rRNA from 1 species
CAGUAGCCGCGGUAAUACGUAGGUGGCAAGCGUUGUCCGGAAUUAUUGGGCGUAAAGGGCUCGCAGGCGGCUUCUUAAGUCUGAUGUGAAAGCCCCCGGCUCAACCGGGGAGGGUCAUUGGAAACUGGGAAACUUGAGUGCAGAAGAGGAGAGUGGAAUUCCACGUGUAGCGGUGAAAUGCGUAGAGAUGUGGAGGAACACCAGUGGCGAAGGCGACUCUCUGGUCUGUAACUGACGCUGAGGAGCGAAAGCGUGGGGAGCGAACAGGAUUAGAUACCCCUGUAGUCCCUGUCUCUUAUAC